ensembl:lncRNA
ACUCAACCCCUUGACACUUAGGUAAUAAUGUGCAAAUGAGGGAACUUGGAUCUUGCUGCCAAGGGGUUAAAAUCAGGAACCUCAAUUGCUACUAAAUCAUAGUUUAAAAACAGAUCUAAUAAUGUUGUCAUUGUUGCUAUAUGAUUCCAUAGCAGCAUUCACUAAAUUGGAAACAAAGGUUGCAACAGGACAAAAAAUUGCGUAGUAUUUACCAGCACCAUUCAGUAAUACAGUCUUAACCAUACCUCCUUGAGCUACUUCAUACUUGUCAAGAAAAGCAGUUUGCAGCAAGGGCACGUGGUGUGCACCUAAUAUUAAAAUUGCUUUGUCUUAAAAUUGAGCAUGAGGAUAUUAAAAAUCCAUUGUGAAGAAGACUGCUUAUCUCAGAGUGAAGAUACUUAAAAAUUAAAUGAACAAAACCCUCCAACUUUGAAGCUGAAGAAGACUCCCAACAUUCAACCACUUAGCAGAGAAGCAAGAGCCUGCAACAUCUCUGCUAUCAAUGCUGAGUCUUUAGAAAACUUCAGCUUCACUCCAACUACGGGUAACUGGGAAAAGGGGAAUGAGGACAGAUGUCCUUCCCACAAAAUCGCAUCUUAUCUUCCAUCCCCCAGCCUGCUGGUUAUUUGGAGGUAGAAGGGAGAGGAAACACAAACACGUUCUGCAAAGAAAGGCUGAGAGGACACAGCAUCAGCCCCUAAAUUUGCAUAACCAGUACCCUGGAUAGGACCAUAAAAGGAGGAUGUGGAUGCCAUUGAAUCUCACACCAAACACCAAUUAUUUCUAGCAGAAAGAGCAAGCUCUCCACUCUCGUAAUCUCUGUAAAAAAAAUUUACCAGAACACAUUCUUCAGAUCCUAGGUGUAUGUGCUAGGCUAAAGAGGAUAUCAUAUUGAGGAAGAAUCUCCUGCUUCUCAUUUCUUCCUGAGACCAUCUCUCUGUGUACACAGCUUUCCAGAAUUGCCUCUGCCCCCUGCUACCUUUCAAGUGUGGUUAUCCCAAAGUCGCUAGCUCCCUGCCCAGGUACACACUCGCGCUCUGGAGUCAGACCGCUUCCAUUCUGACACAUCUCCAUAGCUUUCUCUGCGGCCUAUUUGCUGUCUGUCCCAAGCAAGUGACUUAACCUACUCCAAAGUCCUGUUUGCUGUCUGCUCUAGAGUCACUGCUUCAGGAACCUAUAGGACUUUUCUCCCGCAUGAAGGCAGGACUCUCCCAGAUGAUGACUGUCUUAGUAGACAUAAGCUGGGGACAGACCAGAGAAGCGCUUCACGAGUGUCUUCCCUAUAACAAGGACACCUGGCCCUAGGGCAAACCCCUGAGCACUGGGCCACUCAACAGGAUAAAGAUUAACCCCAUGAAAGCUGCAUUGUAAAUCUGCACAACUAACUCUCUGGAGUCCAGUCAAGGGCAGAGCUUGAACUUAUAGCCAUUUUCAUGAAUGAUAUGCCAAGACUAAACCAGUGAGCAACACGUGUAAGAACAGAGCUGUAGGAAUCACAAUCCCUGACUUCAAAAUGUACUGCAGAGCUGCAGUAAUCAAGUGUAUCAUACUGGGAUAAAAACACACAUAUAGACUAAGGAAUCAGAAUAGAGACCCUGAAACCAGCUCAUGCAAACAGUCAAGUGUCUUCACAAAGUGUGGUAGAACACACGUGUGGACAUGAUUCAGUAACCACCAUUGCGAGGACCAUGCCUAUGUGGCUGAAGAGUGGGAUCAAGUCCUGCCUGACAUCGUAUAC